CCCUGCACUGGUUCAUAUUUCGACACAAGCUUCGAAGCAGGAGGGCCGGAGGCAGAAGAGGAAGAGCAAGUGGAGAUGAUGUCUGCAUCUUUUACAAAUAAGUAAAAAGCAGGCUCAAAUUUACAAACAGUGCGAGUGAGUUUUGGGUGAAAAACAGUGAUUCCUCUGAUGUCUCUAUACUCUUUGGCCGGGUGAUUCAACGUAUAGACAACAGAAGGUGGAUCAGCACCCUAGAGAGAGGGCUAGCGCAAAUCGUGGCACCGGCAACUCGCUGAGGCACUUGUUGCAGGUUGCGGUGCCGCGGCGAAUCGUGGCAGCUGCCUCAAGUUUACGGCAACUGCCUCGUCUGUUGCCUCGGCUGAGUGAGGUACCUCGAGCGGUACCACGAAUUCAGGGGCCGGUUCAUCGGUCGAGAGAGGUACCUCUAGCGGUACCUCAAGUUAAAGGAGUCUUGCCACGACCUAACGGAGGCAUGCAACAACCAAAGGGAGCGGUGCAUCGGCUGAUAGUGGUACCGGGAGUUUAAGGGAGAGGUGCCACGGCUGUUAAUAGACGUACCGGGAGUUUAAGGGAGAGGUGCCACGGCUGUUAAGGGAGCUGUGCCUUGGCUGAUGUAGGUACCGGGAGUUUAAGGGAGAGGUGCCUCGGCUGAUAGACGUACCGGGAGUUUAAGGGAGAGGUGCCGCGGCAGUUUCCGUUAAUUUUAGUAUUCACAUGUGUGCAACAUGUGACAGUAUAAUACAGUUUAAGUACGACUGUUAUCUGCGGGUUGAGUUGCCGUGGCGAGUGGGCUAUUCGAUACAUUUGCACUACAAGUUUUCAAGAGCAGAGGUCAUCAUAGAGUUUGCGAUGCAUUGAAUGAAUUAACCUCUUUACGAUACAAUUGUCUGGAAAGCUUCACUGGUUCAGAAAGCUUCACUUUGCCAUCACUAGUGAAUUUGCCGUGCGCUGGUAUACCCCUUGUCAUGAUCUGAUUUGGCUUGGAGGUGUGUUUCUGAGUUUCAGGCUGGGCGAGCAGGUUUCCCUGGUUACCUGGGCGGAGUCUGGUGGCUGCCUGCUGUCACACCUGUCCUGCAUUUACAAUCGUCAGGAACCCUUCUUAAGGAGCAGCAGGAGCACCAGUCUUUGCCCUUCUAGUGCCUCGUCCCAGCCUGCUUCCACCUGAGCCCGACGGAUUCCCCGGCUUCCCCUCUCGCCCUCCGCGGCUCGGGAGAAUCCCCUCCAGCCAGCCGGAUCACUGCCUCUCCCUCCAGCGUGGGCUCCAUCAAUUGUAUAGCUCCUGCUGCACGGACCCUUCAGCGCUGCCUAUUUGAAUCCAUUCCACACAAUCCAAGUCUUGUAUCAUCGGAAUCCUGCGUUUGAGUCCCACCUUUGUUUUGGCCGUCACCCCAUGACACCCCUGACCCGUUCAGACGUCCAUGUCAUUGUAAAAAUGUGUUUUUCGUGGAGAAUAAACUCAUUAAAGGGUCAAAAGUUCCCAUCAA